rnacentral:tRNA from 1 species
UCCCUGGUGGUCCAGUGGUUAAGAAUCCACACUUCCACUGUUGGGGGCCCAGGUUCCAUCCCUGGUCAAGGAA